UUUUGCACCAGCGAAGUGGGACUUGGGGUGUGGGACUUGGGGUGUGGGACUGGAGGUUGAAUAUAUCUUCUCCACGUCUUCUUAGUUCACAUAGCAGGUGGUUGAAGGUUUGAGGUUCAGUUUUCAAUGGUGGUUUCGACUAGUGGUUUAGCUCCUCAAUUUCUGCUAGGGUUCCUUCCGAUUUUCCAUUCCAUCGCAUUUAGUCUAACUCCGGAUCCUCCAACGACUACGACUUUGAAUCCUCCCCUGCUCACCACCGUAGUCAUCGCCUCUGACUUCUUCCAUCAUCUCCGUCUUCUACCAGUUUCUUCUACCACGAAGAUGUUUCUGGGAACUGUACUCGAAGCGUUGGGAGUAUGCUAUUAAGGUAAUUCUUUAUUGAGUUCUCAAAGCAUUAGCCAUCGUCUACGACUUCACACCCAUUUCGAAGUUUGUGUAAUUGAAUCAGUUUCUCAUUUUCAUUGUUAAGGAUGUUUCUGCAACUGAAUGUCAUAGGAUUGUUCGACAUCAAUUAAAUCUGCCUUCACACCUAUUUCAAAGGAUUCACGCACAUACGGUGUUCGAUGAAAAUCCUCACAGAGUUCACUGUUGUUCUUGAAGGAAGCAAACAUAAAUGUUGAUUAAGGACUUCAAUAUGACGAAUCUUUUUGUUAAUUCCUAGCUUUGCUCUUGAUUAGUAUCCAAUUCCAGGCCGUCAACAUUUGAAACCCCUACAAGCCAUGACCCAGACUCUGAUGAUAAAAAUUGUAGUUGGCAACACUGAUGUUGUCAAGAUCUUGGUGAAUAACAACCAUAAGCUUUUGUAUGUUGAAUAGAAAGGAAGGCAUAUGCCUUUGAAAGUGGAUGUCGCCUCAGUUUCUUUGAUAGCUUAAUCUAAAAUUGUGAAAUGUUGAAUUGUUAUUUA